rnacentral:tRNA from 2 species
GGGGCCGUAGCUCAGCUGGGAGAGCACCUGCCUUGCACGCAGGGGGUCAGGAGUUCGAUCCUCCUCGGCUCCACCA